CCUACGGGAGGCAGCAGUGGGGGAUAUUGCACAAUGGGGGGAACCCUGAUGCAGCGACGCCGCGUGGGUGAAGAAGCGCCUCGGCGCGUAAAGCCCUGUCAGCAGGGAAGAAAAUGACGGUACCUGAAGAAGAAGCCCCGGAAAACUACGUGCCAGCAGCCGCGGGAAUACGUAGGGGGCAAGCGUUAUCCGGAUUUAAUGGGUGUAAAGGGGGCGCAGACGGCGAUGCAAGCCAGGAGUGAAAGCCCGGGGCCCACCCCCGGGACUGCUCUUGGAACUGCGUGGCUGGAGUGCAGGAGGGGCAGGCGGAAUGCCUGGUGUAGCGGUGAAAUGCGUAGAUAUCAGGAGGAACACCGGUGGCGAAGGCGGCCUGCUGGACUGCAACUGACGUUGAGGCCCGAAAGCGUGGGGAGCAAACAGGAUUAGAUACCCUAGUAGUC
rnacentral:rRNA from 1 species